UGUUACCAUUUUGCCCCUUGUGCAGUCUCGUGUGCAUAUCAAUUGAUGCAGACAAUCCCUCCACAGACAGAGAACAGGUUCUGAAAUUAGCAAAAACAGGAAGACAAGAAGAAAGCUACCCUACUCCAUUCCCUGAAGACCAGAACAGCAGGUGUGCCUAUUUUCAGAGGUGGACAUCAGACUCUACUCUUGUUCCCCCUUGGGAUGCUCUCCUUCCAUUCUGCAAGGUGCUCCUUUCGGUGCUGUGAUGGAACAGUUACAGGGAUAUUUCUGGCAUAAUGCUCAAGGGUUGCUGCAGGAUGAGGGCCUCUUGUCUUGUGGCCCCCUGCCUGGAGGAGGACCUGGAGCUUUUAAAUUAGUGCUGGAACAUGGAGGGGCCAAGGUUGCAAGGAAUGAUUGGGCAGAAAAAAACAGUGAAGGAGCUGACACUAAGAAGGUUCUGCUGGAUUAGAGGUCCUGGUUCUCAGUGGGACUAUCCUUCCACCAAGGAACAUGGUAAGAUUUGUGGAACCCUUUCAUCUCGCAGAACUGAAAUUCCAUAGCUACUAAGCAACAACUGGCCAGCCCCUGGUAAUCACCAUUCUACAUGCUACAUCUAUGAAUUUGGCCGUUUUACAUACCUCAGGUUAACAUUACUUGAUGAUCAGAGGUGGGAUCCAGAGGAGACCCCCAACAACUCCAAGGCUGGUAAGCAAACAGAUGACUCUACCUACAGAGCCAGCCUGGAUUUUUCAUCUGUUGGAAAAGACUCCUCUGAAAAGACUCUUCAGCCUUGCUGGAAAGACCCAUAUCAGGAACUGCAAACCAACACUUAUGCUGCCAAACUCCAGAGAAUAGACUCUUGGAUUCACAUGAUACAUCUAAAGAAAGUACCAAAUCCUGAUUAGAUCUGCACACCAUCUGGUGACCUGAAAGUAAAGAUUUCCUGGAAUUGAAGCAGAUGACAUCUGACAAGACCACUUUUCCAACAUGUGCAGACCAGAUCUGUGUACCUUUCUCUCAUUGUUGCUUCUUCUCUUUCUUUCACAGAAAGACAGGGCUCUUGUCUGCAUUUCUCAAGUCCUUGCAAACUGGGGAAAACUCUUCUUUUGAAGAGUUUUGGCCUUUUGGAAACAGCCCCAUCAUGAUCCUGGGACAAAUUAAUGUUUCACUUGCUUUUUCUGACGGGUUAGAAGGUUCAGAAUUUACAGAGUUUUCUUUCAUCUGAACUAUUAACUAACUUUGGAUUCUUACCCAAUUCAUGGUCUGAAUGUGCAACAUUGUAGGCUAUUUUACCAAUAAUACAUUUGGUUCCACAGAGUUCUUUUGACAGAGCAAUACUGUUUUAAACCAUUUUUAAAGUUGCACCAUUUUGCAAAAAGCUCAUUAGCUAUUGCUUCAUAUUUAUAUCUGUACUAUAUCUUCUCAAAUGCACACAGUUCAUUCUAUCAAUGCACUCUCGCAGUAUCCACAAUUUUGCUUUCAUGGCUGCUUUAAACUGAGACUUCCAGGAGGCAUACAUAACUCUGGGUAUACCUUCAUGGGGAGAACUUUUCUCACCUAAUUCAAAGUUAAGUGCCAAGGAAUAUUUCAGUUGCAUACUUUCAGACGUAGAGUCCUGGUUUAGUAUGGUCACAUAACUUGGAAUUGUUACAUUACUUCUGUGUUGUAUCAUUAUUUUAAGUUUUAUACUUUAUUGACUAUGGAACUUUUUAAAAACUACGUACCCAGCAAGAUAAUGCUGGCUCAGUGAUUUGAGAUGAUCUUGAGAAAAGGUAGACUUUAGAUGGGACGUGCCUAAAAGUUUCUCCCUCCUAACCUUCCUUGUUCUUCAUAUGUGGCUUUAAGUGGUUUCCAACUACUUUGUGCUUUCUCUCCACCAAAGAACAGGACAACUAGUGAAGGUCCUUCCUGGCACUGAGGAACAAAACCACUAAAUAUAAAGAGUCUGACUAUUGAUCAGUGAUACUUUCAAAGAAAGAUCUUAAUCAAAAAGGGGGAAUUGUGAAAAUGGAUAAUGGGAAACCUCACUAAAAUGGAGUCAAAAGAUUUGGCAGGGGGACCUCUCAGCCUACCACUGAACUUCAAUUGCAGACCCAACAGGAAGAGAUGUGCGUUGUAUGUAGAUACUGCUUUACUACCCACAGGAGGAAGAGAGCCUUACUUCCUCCCCUUCCUCCCAUCCUCCCAGCAGUCCUACUCACAAGAGACUCACAACUCAACCAAUGAGAAGCCACUAUACUUCCAACUUCCAGUUUACUCCAAUGGACAUUUUGUUUGUAACAGCUUUCUCAACUUCCCCUUUUCCUUUACAAAAGAGCACUCCUCUCCUAUGUUCUCUGGGCUUGCCUAUGGUUUUGCUGUAGCUUGCUUGUCCCAGAUUACAAUUCUCUGCUAGUCUCAAAUAAAUCCAUUUUUUUUCUGGUAAAAAUAACCAGCAGGUUUUGUUUU